rnacentral:rRNA from 1 species
UACGUGUGGUGCAAGCGUUAUCCGGAUUUACUGGGUGUAAAGGGAGCGCAGGCGGCACGGCAAGCCUGAUGUGAAAGCCCGCGGCCCAACCGCGGGACUGCAUUGGGAACUACCGGGCUGGAGUGCCGGAGAGGUAGGCGGAAUUCCUAGUGUAGCGGUGAAAUGCGUAGAUAUUAGGAGGAACACCAGUGGCGAAGGCGGCCUACUGGACGGUGACUGACGCUGAGGCUCGAAAGCGUGGGGAGCAAACAGG